UGUCCAGGGAUGGGAAUCGAACCCACAGUGUUCCGCUUACCGGGCAGAUGCCAUGUCCACUAGGCUACCUUGUC